AAACCAAUGAUAAUUAACUAUUU
rnacentral:snRNA from 1 species